CAAAGAAAAAAAGAGGGGGAGGAAAUGGAGCAGGAGCAAGCUCGCCACUGCUUCUCGUGCUGGGCAGGAUAAAGGCUGAGCUGCAAGUGGUGUAAGUCUCCGCUGGGCUCCCCUCCCUCCCCCCACCCAUACCUCCUCCACCUCCUCCACCUCCUCCACACACACACACACACACACACACACACCUCCUCCCCAUCCCCCCUCCCCACUCAGCAUAUGGAUUAACCCAGUGUGGAAGUGUUCAGAGGAGUUACGUUGCACCAACCUCUUUUUAUAAACACGCACACAUACAUUUCAAUUGAGCUGAGGGAUCGUUUUAAAAACUAUUUAUCCGUCUCAUACUAAAUGUUUUAUUUUUUUUUCCGUCACACACACACAGGAACUUUGUCAUUUGAGGUUCCCCAUUAGCAUUGUUUUGGAAGUCAACACCAUGUACCUCACAUGGUACAAUACUAUGAAUAUAGCCACACACACACACACACACACACACACACACACACACACACACACACACACACACACACACACACACACACACACACACACACACACACACACACACA